rnacentral:rRNA from 1 species
UACGGGGGGAGCAAGCGUUGUUCGGAUUUACUGGGCGUAAAGGGUGCGCAGGUGGGUUGGCAAGUUCGAUGUGAAAGCCCCGGGCUUAACCCGGGAAUGGCAUUGGAUACUGCUGAUCUGGAGGAUCGGAGGGGGGACUGGAAUUCUUGGUGUAGCAGUGAAAUGCGUAGAUAUCAAGAGGAACACCAGUGGCGAAGGCGAGUCCCUGGACGAUACCUGACACUGAGGCACGAAAGCCAAGGGAGCAAACAGG